rnacentral:rRNA from 1 species
GACGAACGCUGGCGGCGUGCCUAAUACAUGCAAGUCGAGCGGACGAAUCGAAAGCUUGCUUUUGAUUCGUUAGCGGCGGACGGGUGAGUAACACGUGGGCAACCUGCCCUGUAGACGGGGAUAACACCGAGAAAUCGGUGCUAAUACCGGAUAACACGAAGUGUCGCAUGACGUUUCGUUGAAAGACGGCGCAAGCUGUCGCUACAGGAUGGGCCCGCGGCGCAUUAGCUAGUUGGUGCGGUAACGGCUCACCAAGGCGACGAUGCGUAGCCGACCUGAGAGGGUGAUCGGCCACACUGGGACUGAGACACGGCCCAGACUCCUACGGGAGGCAGCAGUAGGGAAUCUUCCGCAAUGGACGAAAGUCUGACGGAGCAACGCCGCGUGAGCGAAGAAGGCCUUCGGGUCGUAAAGCUCUGUUGUUAGGGAAGAACAAGUAACGCAGUAACUGGCGUUACCGUGACGGUACCUAACGAGAAAGCCACGGCUAACUACGUG